rnacentral:tRNA from 1 species
UCCCUAGUGGUCUAGUGGUUAAGACUCCAUGCUUCCAGUGCAGGGGGCCUGGGUUUGAUCCCUGGUCAGGGAA